GAUGAACGCUGGCGGCGUGCCUAAUACAUGCAAGUCGAGCGAACGGACGAGAAGCUUGCUUCUCUGAUGUUAGCGGCGGACGGGUGAGUAACACGUGGAUAACCUACCUAUAAGACUGGGAUAACUUCGGGAAACCGGAGCUAAUACCGGAUAAUAUUUUGAACCGCAUGGUUCAAAAGUGAAAGACGGUCUUGCUGUCACUUAUAGAUGGAUCCGCGCUGCAUUAGCUAGUUGGUAAGGUAACGGCCUACCAAGGCAACGAUGCAUAGCCGACCUGAGAGGGUGAUCGGCCACACUGGAACUGAGACCCGGUCCAGACUCCUACGGGAGGCAGCAGUAGGGAAUCUUCCGCAAUGGGCGAAAGCCUGACGGAGCAACGCCGCGUGAGUGAUGAAGGUCUUCGGAUCGUAAAACUCUGUUAUUAGGGAAGAACAUAUGUGUAAGUAACUGUGCACAUCUUGACGGUACCUAAUCAGAAAGCCACGGCUACCUACG
rnacentral:rRNA from 1 species